AUCUAGCUGACGAAUCCCAAAUAGAAUGAGAUGUGCAUCCUGAAU
rnacentral:hammerhead_ribozyme from 1 species